GUAGUGGCUUAUGCUUCAAGACAGUUAAAGAAGCAUGAGCAGAACUAUUCCACUCAUGAUCUAGAGAUGACGGUUGUAGUUUUUACAUUAAAGAUUUGGAGGCACUAUUUGUAUGGUGAGGUGUACUACACUGACUAUAAGAGUUUAAAGUAUAUCUUCCAGCAGAGAGAUUUAAAUCUAAGGCAAAGGAGAUAGUUAGAGCUUCUGAAGGACUGAUUGUACUAUCAGUAUCACCCAGGUAAGGCGAAUGUGGUCGUAGAUGCCUUAAGCAGGAAAUCUGCUGGCAGCCUGGCACAUAUAUCAGUGUAAAGG
rnacentral:misc_RNA from 1 species